AGGUGACGUGACAACAUACGGUU
rnacentral:siRNA from 1 species